GGGCAUUUGGUCUAGUGGUAUGAUUCUUGCUUAGGGUGCAUGAGGUCUUGAGUUCAAUUCUCCAAAUGCCCU
rnacentral:tRNA from 1 species